AGUGAACGCUGGCGGUAGGCCUAACACAUGCAAGUCGAACGGCACCACAGUAAGAGCUUGCUCUUACGGGUGGCGAGUGGCGGACGGGUGAGGAAUACAUCGGAAUCUACUUUUUCGUGGGGGAUAACGUAGGGAAACUUACGCUAAUACCGCAUACGACCUACGGGUGAAAGCAGGAGAUCUUCGGACCUUACGCGAUUGAAUGAGCCGAUGUCGGAUUAGCUAGUUGGCGGGGUAAGGGCACACCAAGGCGACGAUCCGUAGCUGGUCUGAGAGGAUGAUCAGCCACACUGGAACUGAGACACGGUCCAGACUCCUACGGGAGGCAGCAGUGGGGAAUAUUGGACAAUGGGCGCAAGCCUGAUCCAGCCAUACCGCGUGAGUGAAGAAGGCCUUCGGGUUGUAAAGCCCUUUUGUUGGGAAAGAAAAGCAGCAGGUUAAUACCCCGCUGUUCUGACGGUACCCAAAGAAUAAGCACCGGCUAACUUCGUG
rnacentral:rRNA from 1 species